rnacentral:rRNA from 1 species
AUACGGAGGAUCCGAGCGUUAUCCUUAUUUAUUUUUUUUAAAUUUAUCUUAUUCUUAUUUUUAAUUCAUUUUUUAAAUUUUAAUUCUCAACCUUGAAAUUUCAUUUUAUACUUUACUUCUUUAUUUCAUUAAAUUUUUUCUUAAUUCUUUUUUUAUCUUUUAAAUUCUUAUAUAUCACUAAGAACUCCAAUUUGGAAGGCAGCUCACAGGACUGUAAAUGACGCUGAUGCUCGAAAGUGUGGGUAUAAAAAAGGAUUAGAUACAAUGGUAGUCCACAAAGUAAAAGAUGAAUAAUCGCUGUUUGCGAUAUACAGUAAGCGGCAAAGCGAAAGCGUUAAGUAUUCCACCUGGGGAGUACGCCGGCAACGGUGA